rnacentral:lncRNA from 1 species
GAUCACACACUUGUCCCUUGAACCAGCAUGUAGUGCAAAGAUCACGAUUACACAACUACAACAUCGUCUUUUUUAUUAACUAUGUCAUGUGAAUUCACGUAUCAUGUGCAUGUUUUAUACUUUUUAUUUAUUGAACCAGUUGUGAUCAUCGCAGGAACAACUAAACCAGUCAGAGGAGACCUUUUCUUUUUCGUCUCUCUGCUAACAUAGAUAAAGGCGGAGGUCCCAUUUAUUUGUUAGAGAAGAAGGAACCUAAAGAAAUGAAUGGCACUUUAGAUUAAAGAAACGGCACGUACACAUUCUCUUGAACUUUUCCUUGAGUUCAGUGAGGUGCUCGCUCUUGGUGAUGCGGAAGUAGUAGUCUGGGUAGUCGGCCUGGUACAAGACGUUGACAGGGGUGGCGGUGCCGAUGGCGAGCACCGUCGCCGAACCCUCUGCCCUCUGCGAUUGCCUGAUCUCUGCCAACUUGGCCAUGAGCUAGAAGUGGGUGUAGGACCAAGUACUAGGUCGAUCGAAGAGUUGAUGGUUCGGUCCGGAGAUGAGGAGGCAGAGGGGGUGGAGGCGGGAGAUAUAUAGCGGUGGCUGGUUAGGUUGAACGGACGGACAGAUGUGAAGCCACGAGGAGCAGAGAAGGUUUGGUGGGAGGCUAGGCACAGUGAACGCCACGCGGGUCACCAGCUUCCUCCUCCCGUCAGCUAAAAACUUAACCUGUAAACUCCGACUCCAUGCAUUUAUUCAUCUCUCAUCUGCCGCGCGCACACCUCGUGGCCUUCUGGUUGUCGCAGACCACAAGGCGAUCGAGCGUCCCGUCAACGGGUAGAGGAAGAGCCCCUCUUUGUCUGAUCUUGGAAGAUGCACUUCGCCGUGAAGGGUCGGAUCGAGACUCGAGAAGCAGUGACACCGCGCAAGGGGAAGGCACUUCGCCUCCCGUCCACCGGUGUGCGUCGCGUCCGUCGUUCGUACGUAAAAUCGCUGCUUAAGUGGGCCCUGAAAUAAAUCCUCCGCGUCUACUUUGUCAAAUGACGUCGACAAAGACUACUUGGUUAGUCCGCCAUGGACACCAAAAGACCCAUGAAUACCCAAGGCCGCAGAAUCCAUGACGUUGGACGUGUCAGGUGGUUGCCACCUGCUUCUGUUGAUGUAUACGGGAGACUCGACAGGGGCCACAACUUUAGCUACAACCAACGAGAAACGUGGGAAACUACCUAAUUAACGAUAACAACUGGUCCUCCGUAGCUAAUUUUUUGCUACCUACCUUUUAUUUCAUCACAAAUUGGUGUCGCAUUCGUUCAUAAAUAAUAAUAUAAAUUGGAUUACUGUUCAGCCACUGUUUGUGUACUGAAUUUUUGUUUUAAUUUCAAGAGAUUUGGUUGGAACCAUUUUAAUUGUUUGUGUGAAAAGUAUUGUUUUUUGUCGAACAUUAUACAUUAUUGAAUUUUUUGAAAUGAGAAAAAAAUAUUAAAUAAAAAUUACAACGUGAUACAAUCAUCAUAAUUUAAACAUAAAACAUAUAUUUUUUUGAAAUUACUAGUAUUUUUCAUUCAACUUUAAAAGACAUUACAAAAUUGAGAUGAAUUUUGCUUUAGAGCAAAAAAGAUGCUUUUAAUAUACGCAACCUUCACAACGAGCCGACACAGGCUGGAGUGCGCGGCCCAACGUAAUACCCCAAAGCGCGUCACAGGCCGCUGGCUCGUGCAGGGCACGUGUCAAGCUGCGCUGCGAUCCGGGGAAGAGCGCUCAUGUUUUCCAUACUGUUGAUGAAGUCCUAUUAACGUGUGUGAUCGUUCGUAGCCCGAUCCUACGGCUGAAAUGCGUUUAUGUUCCCUAUAAAUUCCGUUCAAUUUCGGGGUUUCGAUAUCCGUCUCUCGUUGCCGCGGGUAACCGCGCGAUAACGGUGCGAAGCCAUAUGUAGGGUUUCCAUCGCCGCCGAAGGCUUAGACGAGAUGGUAAGCUCGCCGACUUCGAUAUAUCCCUCGCGAACAUGCUGUGUCCAGUUAUUGUUACUAUUUAUUUUCUUUUUUCCGGUGGUGUUUUGGUUGAUUAGGUUCUACCGAAUGAUAUUGAUCUCCUCAAUCCCCCAGCGGAGCUUGAGAAGAGAAGGCACAAACUCAAGCGUCUCGUUCAAUCUCCCAACUCCUUCUUCAUGGUGAUCCCCGAUUCGUUUCAUCAAGUUCUUUAGUUUUCCUCUCUCGCGCGUAAUUUUCGGUUCUGAUUGAUGUUUCUUUCUUCUGGUCUACGUUGUUGAAGGAUGUGAAAUGUCAAGGAUGCUUCAACAUGUAAGUUCUGCUGUUGAUCACUGCAUUUAAUGAUGAUCUCGUGUUCUUAACAAUUUUGGAUGGUUCUUGAAGCUAUCAUUGAUUGGAUGCCGCAGAACUACGGUGUUUAGCCACUCGCAACUGUUGUGGUUUGCGGAAACUGCCAGACCGUUCUGUGCCAGCCGACUGGCGGGCGUGCAAGGCUCACCGAGGGCUGCUCUUUCCGACGAAAAGGCGAUUGAGCCUAUCUGUGCGCUUUUCUUCCUUUCUCUUGAUAAAUCUUUGAGAAGCUUGGAAUCAAAUUUAUAUGCGAGUUUUAACACGAUGCUGUUUUAAUUGUCAGUAACGAGAAGAUGUAAGACAUAUUAUGCUUUUUACUGGGGUUGGCAGUUCAUGUAUUAUUCGUAAUGUAAUUUCUACCUGCCCAUUAGUAUAAUAGAAGAUACACAAAAAUAUGUCAUAUGAUAUACUAGCGGAUAAGAUAACAAUAACCAUCAGUCUCAGUUGAUGAUGUAUAUGGUAAAACAAUAUGCAUUUCUCAAGAAUAAUUAGUUGAACCUGAAUGUUCUAUGUUAAUACUUCUAGGACAUGUUUGUACGUGCACAUAUUAGUAUAUACAUAGGGUAAUAAUUUCUAAUUCAUUUGUUUGAUGGAACAUGCUUGUGGGUGAUUUUGUUGGGGAGUUCCUUGUUGUUCCUUUUGUUGGGCUGGCAGCCCACAAAUUCAGCUCAUAGUUGGCUUGGGCAGCCCACAGCUCAUCCCCUUUUAACCUAAUCCUAAUUAACAUUAGGGGGGGGUGUGGUGGUUGCGUUUUGGAGGCAGAAAAAGGCAUAAAUAUGGUAGUAACGUAGGAGAAAGAUACGGGAUUCCAAAGAAAAUGAGGAAAACAAGGCAGAAAAUGAAUAGAAAGAAAGGGAGGACAAUGCAAAGAGGCUGUUCUCAAUCAUUUAGCAGUGUUAUCAUCUCAAGUUAGAUCAAAUCUACAGUAUACUUUUGUUGUGAUUACUUAGGGAGGUUUUAGAUAUUGUAGGCAGUGACGUGAUCCUUAUAUCUCAGUUAUUUUCUUGUGAUAGUUUCUAGGGUUUAGAGUAAGAGAUUGAGAUUUGUAUAUCUAUUAUUUUCAUAGUGGAUUAUCUCUAGUUUACCCCGUGGUUUUUACCCUUCAUAUUGAAAGAGUUUUUCAUGUAUAUCUUGGUGUUUUAUUUAAUUGUGGUUACAUUUAAUUCCGUUGCGUAUUAUGGUUUUCUAAUAUUUGUUCAUAUACAAAAAUUAUUUCUAUUUAUAUCCCCAUCACCUUUUAUCUUUUUUUCUUCUAGUGUCACACUUGUUUAGCAUAAUGGAUUUUGCUACACUAAGCUGAGUGCAUGGUGUUAGUAGGAAUAAAAAAUUUACAUUCGAUUGGAACAAAAAUAUUUACAAGUGUGAGAUGAAUUAAUUAAGGAGUUGGUGUAUUCCCUCGGUCUCAUGCUGGCACGCCUUGAGCAAAUCGAGUGGGAUACCAUUUGUGUUGAUUCUUCUACUUGCAUGUAUGUGGAGAAUUGGAAGGACGUUGACACUAGUAGCUAAACAAAUCAGAAAAGAGCAUUAGGAAGAAAUGAAGAGGUAGGGUUUGGACAGAAAUCUGCGUUGCUUCGAGAUCCUUGAAAUAGCCGUAUGAUAUGUGGUCUAACUCAGCCUAUCAUCUUGCUCUUUUAAAUUGGAUACUAUGGGGAAAUACGUAAUUGAUCCUUUGGUUUUCGUUUCAGAUUUGCACGUUGCAACUUUUGGGUUCGCAAAGCUAAAAAAAUGCAAUCAAAUCACAUUAGUAAACUUCCAAAAAUUAUAAUAUUCAAAAAUAUAUAAAUUUAUAGUUCAUAACAUUUGAAAUAUAUAAAGAUUUACGAUUCAUUUUAUUGUUAUGGAUUGUUGCUUCUCGUGUUCAACUUCGUAGAACAGCUAAAGUCCUUAUUUUUUUCAUUCUCUCUUUUUUCUUUGGCACUCCAAGUGCUUAUUGAAUUGUUGGUAAAACUGUUAUUUUUUGCGAGACGUCGGGGCUUGUCCGUCGCUUGUUUUCAAUCUAAUAAACUUUCUAUUUUACAGGUUUUUCGGGACCUAUAUGAGGUUGCAACUAAGUUGAACCUUUGCGGAUGCAUAUAUUACAAGGGCGCCUUAUGACUUAGACGAUCCGAGCUAAGUUCGAGGAGUUGGCGCAAGAGUGUUUCACGAUUUAGGCAAUUUCGGUUAAGUUCGUGAUUUUGCCACAUGAAUACCUCGUCACUUAGUCGAUAAGCAUUAUGUGACAUUUUGGAGGUUGCCAACUCAUCUGCCCAAUGUCCCCCUUGCGAGAUUCGAUCUUCGAAUUUCUGGACUCUUCCCAUCUAAAGCAAGGAAUUCAAUCAUGCAAAGACAGUUCAAUUAGCGAAAUAAAGUGCCUGGGCCGACGCGACAUAUGGGGCCCAUGGAGCUGAUUAGUAGGCAGAUCAAAGAAAGGAGACGUUGGACGAAGGUAACAAAGAAUAUACUAAUCACUACUUCUAUUUGAGCGAACGAUUAACCACAUCAGAGACGUUGGAGAUCGUCUCUUUGCAUCACGUCUUUCGUUUGUUUUUAUGGUUCGACGUGGCAGCGUCAUUUUAUUUUUCAUUUGGAUACAUCUCGAUACAGACAGAGCACGACGGCACAAACGUGGCGACUCCCGUCCGGCUCACCACGCUCGUAUCCUGACACUCCCUAUAUUUGGCCGCAGCGACAACGAUCGCCGCAACGGGACCCGCGUGCUCACGAACUGCAAUUUUGUUUCUUGCCGCUCGACGACAAAUGCGUUGUGGGAGAUCGAACGCAACAGGGGGCCCGCAAGCUUUCACGUGGUUGGACUCCCGAACCCGGUACACGUCAGUAUUUCAAAGGCGAGACAAAGACGGUGAUGUAAACGUUUAUUACUGCGUACGUGAAUAGGACGAGGCACCUGCUCCUCCAAAGCUUCCAUAAGCCCCUACGAUGACGGCCCUUCCAUUAGACGACGAGAAACACCGAUCCCUAAGCCCCUACGAUGACGACUCUUCAUUAGACGACAAGAAGUGAAACGACAAAACGAUGGUGAUGCAGAUAAGGAACGGCAGUAAAGGAGACGUCUCUGUGAGUUGGAGGAUACAGUUUGCUAUGGCUCCUCUCUCAUGCUUGCUAAAACUCCACAAAAUGGUCGAUGGAUGGGUGGACGGAGAAUGGACGAGAACACUCCAAGACCUUGGCCCAUCCGACGGUGACAGAUCAGCCACGCGUCGGAACGAGUGCUCGAGAUCAUCUUUGAUUCUAAAUCACAAUCAUCCGAGUUAUUUUUUUAAUUAAAUAAGAAAAUGACAUGAUAGGUACAAUUAUCCUCUAAUAUAUAAUGCUCGAGAAACAUAGUUGGCACACCGUGGAUAUAAAACAUAUAAUAAGGCUCAUCUUGUGGAUCUAACCACAAGAUGCCACCUAAGUUAUGGUAAUUUCAAUCAGCAAUCAUUUAGAAAUGCUCAAUUAUCAAGUUAUGCUAAUCCACGAUGCAUCGGAUGGUGGUCGCCAGUUGGGCAAUAUUAUUAUUAUUAUUAUUAUUAUUCUGAAAAUAGCAGCAAAAUUAGAUUACUCGGACCUAUCGUCAAACCGGCCGAUUUCCCGGUCCGCUGCCGAAAUCAUCGCAUCAAGUGGCUGGCGGAUUGCUGAGGCAGCCUUCCCUCACCGCAUUGCUUGCCACCCUGCCAUGCCUCCCCAUGUUCGACAGGUAACAUGGCAUCAUGGCGGUGCGACCCUUUUAUCUUCUUAGCUCUCCUCGAGAGAUCUUUAAUCUAAUCAGAUUCGGACGGAUGGUUGACAUCCUCCUGUUGAACUUUGAUGGGUAAGGUGUAAGCUGCAAUAAGAUUUUGAAAUAAUAUUUAUUUUUUAUUAGAAAAACCUUUUAAAUUGGCUCAGCCUUUUUUACUCAAUUAUAUUGAUAAAGAUAACAUCGAAAAUUUCCCAACCUUGAAAACACCCAUCUCAUCGGACGCUAUCAACUCCACCGUGUAGUAUAGAUAUGGACCAAGUUGUGAUGCAAUUUAAAAGGCCCCCCUCGCAUCGCCUACGUCGGCACACAAAAGGUGGGGUGCCACCACGACCAGCCAAUAGGUUUAGUUGCAUGUAACAGCGCCCAAAUGAACGGGGAAUUAUAAAUCUCCAACCAUUCGAUGUUUCAUCAUCACAACCACUUUUAUUAAUACAAAAUUGUCACCGUCGGUAGGACUUUUCAUGGUAAAUGUUUCAUACAAAUCACUAAUUAAUUCUUCCAAAUAAAAUAAAUAAAUACAAAGGGGACAAAUGUGACAUCACGUGGCAUUGAGAAAGACUUUGAAGACCAUGGUUAUCCAUUUUCUCACGUCAUCGAUAGCGGCAUCUUUUGCGGCGCUGCUGCUGCAUGUUGACGUUGAGGAGAAGCCCAUCGCUAAUUAAUAUCAACUUGUGGUUCGUGUGGUUGUUCGAGUAAGCUAAGCGACCGUCUUAAAGUAAAUGAGCGGCUUAAUUGUCUGCUUAUGAUGAUUAGUUGGAGCGUUAAAGCUUAUACCAUUGUCAGGUCUUUCAAAAGCGAUUCAAUUAAUUAUUCGUAUGAUUGUUUCCAUGUAAAACACAAAUUUGCCUCCACCUACGAGCAAGAGAAGAUGAACACGAAUUUGCCUAGUAACAAUUAGACAGAUAUAUUUUUAUCCCUAAAUCUAUCGCUCAUGGUGGUGUUGUGAAGAAUAAAAAGAAAUGAGAAAGCGAGUCUAGUUCUCUUUCGUGUUUACGUCUGUUAUUUCUUGGUAUUUGAAUGGUCAGCAUAUGGAGCCCAUAUGCUCCAUUGAGAAGACAACAUCGCCUCAGAAACGGGUUUGGCUUGUUUACGACCUUUCUCCACGAGGAAGACAGCAGUGGUCAGUCGAGUCACAAAUCCACUCAAAUAAUCCACAUGAAAGAAUGUUUCGCACGGUGAAGUCUAAUCGCGCAAACGAACAAACUAAUCCCCGUGGGUGCAACUUUUCCCCAGCCUUGUCGUAUCUCAGCGGAACCAAAGACACAAUUUGGUGCUUCGUAAUGUUCGUAGAUUCGCCCGCCAUAUGCGUGCGUGCAUGCAUGCAUGCAUGAGUACUAAUUGCACUCCCAAUUCCCAGUGGUUCAGUGGAUGCAGCUCGAGAGUACUCGAUAUAAGCCAUUAAUCUUCGACACAUUCCGCGAACCUCGCAAAUAUGACGAGGAUGAUUUCAAGGGGAGCCUCUCCCAGAAAGAACCUCCUCGUUCACAGGAAGAGUACCCUUUUGUUUCUUGUAUUUGAAGACAAGUACACAACAAGAUUGAUGAGAUGUACAUAAAAACAUUAAAAUAUUAGAAGAAAACAGUUCAUCUAUUUCCCAAAGAAACAACACGUAGAAAGCAAGCAUCUCUGUGUCCUGUUUCUAUCAACAGCAGCGUCAAGACACAACGUGAAAACAUCACGCACUAGUCCAAUAAUUGCAGUAGAAGAAAGAACAUCAUCAGCUGAUCUCUCUCUCUUCGUACCUUCCUAUCGUUUGUUGUUGAAUCCAUCAAUAAAAAAGCUACUUUUAUAGAUCACUAUCUACGACUGCAGUUGAUUUGGUCGCGCCGGAAAUUUCCCUCGAAUCUUAGGUCUCUGGAUCACAGCUUCGGUGCAGGGGGUGCGCGGCUUCGCUGAAGGAUCCCAACCUCUCCGCUUUCUGGUAGUGGCUGCGAUCGUAGAUGGUUAACAAAGUCCUCGUUUCUGGGCGCGCGGGCUCUGCUCCCGUAGUAUUAUCCCCUCGUCGGUGUUGCGCUCGAGGGUUUGCAGGACUUAAUUAAAGCUGCGUUGUUUAAGGCGUAAAUUAGUCGAGGCUCGGGCGGUUGGGUUGACCCCAGAGGCAUUAUAUUCGGCGGCGGGAAUAGGAGGCAGCAGCACCUCCUCGCCUCCAUACGACUGUCGUUUCUCUGUUCCCCGUCUCCCUAGCUUUUGAAUUCGGCGUUGGGCUUCGAGAACCUCGAAUGCGGCGGCGAGGAAGGUUGGGAGAGCAAGCGUGCAGGUUUAGGAUAAGAAAGGUGUGAUCUUUUCGGGGAAAAGACGCAGUUGGGAGAGGGUUAUGAGGGUGGUGUCCUGCUCGCCGAUUGAGAGAGUCGGUGGUUGUCUCAGGUGAGAUGGAAGGCGUAGCAUGUUGCUUCGGGCUAAUUUCUCCCAACAAGUUGGUGUCUUGUAGCCUUUACUGAUCUCCUGUGAUCUGUCUGGUCCUGUUUUGUUGGUUAAAGUUAGGAGCUCCUUCUUUUGUCGUGGAAGUAUGUCGUCUCCUCUGCUCGCUCGCAAGGGCCGCCACCAACAGCGGUAUGACAACCAGCUCCGGCUUGUCGCAGGGUACUUCCAAAGCUCACAGUUUUAGAUCUCACUUUAACUUAUAUUACAUGUUGUUUUGGAUUGGAUGACUUCAAAGUUACUGUAGCAAUGCUCCAAUGAGAAAGAAGAAUCAUUUCUCUCAACCGCUCUUAGCUGGUUGUGUUAUGGUAUUCUUUAAAGCAAAAAAGCAGAUGAAGCUGGAAAAUAAGGCAUCCAUAGUGCACAAAGUUGACAGUGGAAGCCAUAAUGCUUGUGCUAUAAUCUAAUUCCAUGAAGUUAAAAAGUAAAAUUGUUGUUUGAUUGAGAGUGACAAUGUCUGAAGUAGUUGUGGCAAUAUGGAUGCUCCAGACCCAUCAGAUAUUGCAUUUAUGUGAUGUUCUGGUAUGGAUUCUGCUUCAUCUAAAAUAUUUGCCAAGGUUGUGUGCCAAAAGUAUAGUUGAUCUAUGUUUUUUCGAAACUAAAAUAGCAUAAAUUAUCAACCAGCAUAGUGGAUCAGUGCUUGAUUUCUCGUGUGUGUUCCUUUUGGGGCAGAUGUAUACCCUACAAGGUAAAAGCAGAUGACGGUAACCGAUCUGGUGAUCUGCUCGGCAGAGUGGAAGUCCUUAUGAUCACUUCUCCAGGUCGACUUGAUCUUGUCUUCCCGAAGGUGAGAAAAAGAAAUCCUUCUUCUUUUGGAUUUAGCAGAGCAAGAAGCUAUUUUUGGCUUGAAAUAUGUGUUUGAUUCGUCUGCUGCGACAGGGUGGAUGGGAGAUCGAUGAGACUGCAGGCGAAGCGGCAUGCCGCGAAGCUAUGGAAGAAGCAGGAGUGAAGGGAAUUUUGAAUGUAAGCAAUUCAAACUUUUUGUUUGAUGAGAUGAAGCUUGUCUGAUGAACAUACCUACUGUUCCAUUCAUCUAACAUCUUUUUCAUGAGAAAAUUCGUCGAAACUCCGAAAUCAUGAGUGAUUUACGACUAGAGAAGAACAAGGGUUCUCCUUUAAGUCUACUUUCAGUAGAUGAUUAUGCUUUCAUUCAAAACACCAAUAAAUUUACCAUUCUUGUGGGCCUUGCAAUUCCAUUUCUCAUAUCUGAUACAUGUUACAUCAUGGAAAAUAUUUUACUCCUGAAAUCUUUCUGGACCCUCACAUCAAUUGGAUUCUAGUAAGAUUAAAGUUCUGCUCUAUCCAACUAACACGCAUGUGAUGUGUUUCUUGUCUGCCUAACUCCUGCUGUUCCAAUAAGUUGGUGAUGAGAAUCUUAACCACUUAAACAAGUAAUUUUCCUUUUUUUUUUUUUUCUAGUGGGACAGUAGAAUGGUUUUUAGUCUUAUAUUAAAUAUAAUCACUUCCUGGAUAACAUAAUUACAUUGGAGUUAUAUAGCAUAUGUACUAAAUACUAAGUGGGUCAAGUUUACGACCGUCUGCAAUUUUUUGAUAGCAUUGUUAAGGGAGUUUAUGUAUGCCAAUGUACAUGAAGGUAGCAUUUUUUUAAAGUUGAAUUUCUACAGAAUUAAAUUAGGAGAGAAGAGAGAGAUCAUUUACUAUGUUUUUUCUUUUGUGAACUAGAAAUUCAUGAUUUUCUCCAUUUUAUAACCGAAACAAAUGAAGACCUAACUUUCGAGAUAGCUAUAUGACGAAUUUUCGAGUGAAGGUCUUUUUUGCAUUAAUCUUAUUUAAAUUACAUAAAAUUAUCUUGUUAAACACUUUUUUUCGAUCCCGAGAAGUGUGUCCUUGGUCUUCAUGGUUAUUGCUUCAUGAUCAUUAUGCAAUCUUCAUUGGUGUUUUUCUUUGUUUUGUCUUUCCAGGAUACAGACUUAGGUGUUUGGGAAUUUAGAAGCAAGAGCAGACAGAAUAGUUGUACCAUGGAAGGAACUUGCAAAGGUUACAUGUUUGCCUUGGAGGUCACCGAGGAGUUAGACUGCUAUCCGGAGAAGGAUAACCGUGAUAGGAAAUGGGUUAGUGUAUAAUCUACUCCACAUUAAUAAAGAUGCGGUAUCGACUUCAUCAUUUGAGAAACUAUAUACGUUUUUGUUCUUGCUUUCACCGAAAUAGGUGCCUUUGGGAGAAGCCUAUGAACUUUGUCGAUACGAUUGGAUGCGUGAAGCUCUUGAUUCGUUCAAAAACCUUCUGACAGAAAAACUUGUAUCUACUGUUCCCGACUUAUCGGUGUCGUCAAGCUUCUGCAUCGUAAAGCCUACUGCAGCUGAUCAUGCCAUAGCACUCUGCUGAUGGUUCCUCGUCCAUUCAAGCUAAAUCAGCAGCCGGUAGGAUUUGAAUAACACAUGUAAUUUUGUGAAGUACUUUCUGUGGCAGUCUCAAUCACAGGCAUAUCUUUAAGUUGCUAUUGUUAAGACCUUCCAGGUGAGUCCGGGCAUGUAAGCUAUAGGUCUGCCCCUGACAAAACUUGGAACAACCAAUGGCUGUGAUUGAGAAUCCAAGCCAAUUUUUAGGUAAGUUUGGUCACUCAGUUAUCCAUGUUACUGAUUGCAUUGUGACUCUGUUGUUCCUGAAAUGGAUGUCAAAUUGUCUAGCAAUAUCUUAUAUGUAUGCUGUAAGGUGCAUCAUAUUCAAUGGAGUUUCAUUCUUGGCUUUAGUAGGGCAAGUAAAUUAUGCAGAGCACAAAGAGAAAUAAUGACUUCAUAGGUGCCUUUGGGAGAAGCCUAUCAAAGUUCUUAGCCAAGUUCAGAUCGGAUCUUCUCUCUUCUUGAAACAGGCGAGGGUUUGGCCAUUAUGAAUUAAAACUAAAUCUACACUGCAACCUUAAUACACCUUUCAACAGUUCCAUGAACUCUCCCACAAAUAGAGCAGAUUCUAACAAGAAAUUUCAGAAACAUUACAUCAGGCAAUUUUCAGAAAUACUUGAAAUACUUUGGGGAGCAGUCCACCACGACGAAUAGCAGUGGAUCGCAAUUCUAAGUAAAUUCUUAUACUUGUGUUCCAGCAGCCUAAAAAUACCAUAGAAAUCAUUAAAUAAAACACCAGGUGAUAUUGAUGAAAAUAUAAUCUGGGUCUCUAAGAGCCUCAUUGUAAGGAAACAGAUUAUGGUACUCUACUCAUCUCUUCCAGACACGUCUCUUCCUCGAUAAGCAGGAGCUCCUCCUUGAUAAUUGCUUCCGCCUUGUUGAUAGUUUGGAUUGCCACCUUGGUAAGUAGAGCUGCCUGGCUGAUAACCAGAGAAGCCACCUUGAUAAGGUGGAUUACCUCCGUGAUGACCAGGGCUACCUCCUUGAUAUGCAGAGCCACCUCCAUGGUAACCUGCGUCACUGCCUUGAUAACCAACUCGACCUGGCAUAUUACCCCCAGGACUGCCACCCUGGUAUCCUUGAUAGCCUUGAACACCUCCUUGAUGGCUAGGACCAGCAUUUGGCACAUAACCUGGCAUAUUACCCCCAGGACUGCCACCCUGGUGUCCUUGAUAGCCUUGAACACCACCUUGAUGGCUAGGACCAGCAUUUGGCACAUAACCUGGCAUAUUACCCCCAGGACUGCCACCCUGGUAUCCUUGAUAGCCUUGAACACUUCCUUGAUGGCUAGGACCAGCAUUUGGCACAUAGGUGUUCUGAGGGUUAGGUGUUUGAUUCUGGUAGUUCAUCAUACCACCUGCGGUAGGUGGUGUAGCAUUGUAAUCAUGAUUAGGCAUCGGAGGAGCAUCUCUAGGAGGCAUAGGAUUCUGCGCAUUUGGUGGCAUGGCGUUCUGUGCAUUAUGAUUCUGAGAAUCCUGGUUUGCCAUUGGUGGAGGCCUAUUCUGGAAGUUUUGCAUGUUUUCCCUUCUCCUCUCAAAGUUCCUUGACCGAUCAAAGUUGCGAGGCCUGUCAUUCCGCCUCGAUCUCUCCUGUGCACGUGCAUUAUUUCUGACCCAUUCCUCAUGGUAUUUAGGGUCAUAAGGAACAGCUUUACCAUCUAUGAAUGGUUCUCCUGGUAUUUUCACCGAAAAAAAAGUGUCAAAGUUACUAGCCUUAAAUAGUAAUGCAUUUCCAGGAUUUGCAUGUAAAAGGAUCAGCUAAAGCAAAACAUUCACAAUAAAAAUGUAAGCAAGUCAUCGUUCUCUGCUUUUACUCUAAGAAACAAUGUCCAUCAUUCAGAAAAAGAACUAAUGCAGAACAAGAUGAACAAUUAAGAUCACCAAGAACCUGGCGUCUUGUUGUUAUCUUUGAUUGAAAUUGGCAAACCUGAAAACCUUAGAUUGUAGAGGCAUAAGAGCUUUUCACUUCGUUGUGUGAAAAGAAUUAUGGGCUCAAGACUAUAUCUGGUAAAAAUCCAAAUAUUCUGAAGUAAGCAAAUACAAUUCGUGCUCAUUUCUCUGCUAAUUUUAUCCUUUAAAUUUGAAUCAUAUAAUUUCUUUUACAAAAACCUAUUCAUCCCUACAAAAGCUUACAAAACCCACUGAAUUGGACCAAAUAUGACUAACAGUUAGCUAACUUCAACAGACUGGCAAUGCUUCUAACCAAAUUGUUAAGUUCAAAGCAAACUCAACCAAAUUAAAUAAUGUCAACUCAUCCCAUUCUUCCUCACCAUUCCUGGGCCAAACCCUGAUCAGUUCUCAUCCAAUGAUCUAAUUAGACCAACCCAUAUCAGCCCCCGAGUUUGUCAUUAACGAGGUUAGGGUCCAAUGUGACAUUACAUAAAAAUGUUAACCGUGGCUUUCAUUAACCACAUUACCUUCUUAUUCCUAUCAGUUCUAUUACAUGCCCAUCUACGCUUAAAUGUCAUACUGAACAGAUUGAGGGAAUGCAAUGCAAGAGCACAGAUGUCCAGAAAAGAUACUAGCCAAAAAGGAAAGUUAAAAACCAUGUCCCACACUCCAGAAUAAACAAAUGGAGAAUUGAGAUACAAUAUCCAAUCAUAUCAUAGUCACAAGCUGAGAGACUGCAUGUUAAUCUACUAUGAGAGACCGCAUGUUAAUAUACACUUUAUAACUUUAGGUUCUUCAAAGAAAAGAGAGGGAAGAAGGGAGAGGUGAAAGAAAAGGGAAAAGAGUGAAACAGGUUAUUUUGGCCCUUACCACCAUAAUCUUUGUUCUUUACAUCCAAAUAUGAAUCAGGGAGAACCCAGCGGACCUUUGGCAAAGCUGCAUUAUGAGCAGAAAUAAGUGGAACGAAUACAUAUUUAAAUACACAUAUAUAAGAACAACUAAAUAGAUCGGACAUACGCUUGAUCUUGUACGAGAUCUCUUCAGAAACCUUACACCCAAAAGCGAAGUAGUGCUUUGUUGACACUGAAUAUAUUGACAUCCUUGCUUCCUCUUCACUGUAACACGAUGCCAAUUAUCGGACCAGCAGAAGAGCCAAGAAACCAACAAAUAAAACAGUGAUUCAAAUGCUAUAGAUAUACUUAAUCCAACUAAAAAGUGAUUUAUGCAAUAUUGUCCAGAGAAAAACAUAGACCUUAACUGCACAAUUCAUUAACAAAAGUGACUUAUGCAAGUCAUUAAGGACUCAAUCCGCACAAUUAAGAGAAGCUGAAGUUGAAGCUAAACUUAGAUCCUUCAAACAGUUGACAUAAAUCCAACAUUAUUGCCUUUAACCACUUUUAUCUAUUAUCCCCACAUUAAUCUGAAAGAUAAAAGAGCAAAAACCUCAAACCAACGCCAAGAAUUGAUCUUUACAGUACUAAUAGAAAGAGUAAUAGGAACUAAAGCGGAAAAAAAAGGGGGGGGGAGAAAGCUUACCUUCCGAGAACCUCGGCCAGGGUCUUGAUGUAACUGUCGAUGAUCUCAUCCCGGGUAAGGGAAGGAUCCGGAGGCUCCACGACGACGAGCCAGUGCUCGAAGUCGCAGCCGUCGAGGAGGAUGGUCUCCUUAGGGGGGCGGUUGCUCCAGUUCGGCGACGGAUCAUUAAGGGACGAUGUGGUGGGCCUGGUGGAGAAGCAUCGGGUCCCGAGGCCUGAUGCGCUGUGGCGGAGCGGGUAACUGGCAGCGGCGAGGAGGGGGCGGAGACGGAGCAAAGGGGAAGAGCGGGCGGGGGGGAGCGCGAGAGCUCGAGAGGAGAGUAGAGGGGAAAGGGACAUGGAGUGAAGCCUCAAGAUGAACGUUCGCCCCGACAUCACCGGAAAACCUAGAAAUCUCAGCUGGAGAAUGGAGUGGCCUUAAAGGCGAGGGGGGCUUGGACGAGGGUUUUAUCGCCGAGACGGGGGGAUGACGGUCACGUGUCAUAAGCAUGACGACCGGAUUGAGUCGGAAACAGGCCGGGCUUAGGUUGAAUUGAACCGGAGGGCUAAAUUCACAAGAACCGCAUGGCCCAAUAGACCAUCUGUAGGUUUUGGAUGCGCAGUAGCUUCUGCCGGCCACAUUGUUGUAUCCAAAAACUAUGGUUCCAAUCACUAACUACAAAUUUGACAUUGAUCCGCAGUAGCUUCUUCAUUAAGCAUUUGAAGAAGCUAUCCUUUCCUAGCUGAAGCGGAACCCCCAUGGAGGAGACCCCGCGAGGUGUGCUCGAAUGGGUAGUAAACUUGGAGUUCCACAACGGCGCCGAUGAUAGAGAAAGUUGCAAUGUGAGUCACAGUGACCUUUCUUAUUCCACCGAGCUAGUGGCUAGUGGAAGAGAACGAGUGGGGGAGAAUUAGCUUCAUGCGAGGGAAUUUUGUCCUGGGAAAGUGAUGACUGGGACGAAGCAAGGAGGGUUGAGGAGGGAGCUUAAUUUGCAGGGGGACAAAGCAGAAGAGGAGCGUGGGACGUUCUGGGAAUAUGGUCCUGAUUGCAGCAGUUUCGGUUCGGCAGACAAGUCUGGGGGUGUCAGUGAGGAAGAAGGGGAUGAUUUACCCAGUGGAAUGAGAUGCUCUGUUUCUUUGGUUAGUGUUGUUUGCCGUCACAAAAAUGGACGAAAAGUUCACGGAAUUCCAUGUUCAAUCAACAGCAACAAAAAUUGAACUUGAGACCUCCUCCAUUUAACAGUAGUUUGCAUCACUUGUGUGCCAUGAAGAAACAGAGCAUGUCAUUCCACUGAGUAAAUCAUGCAGUCAUCACUCCCAUGCCAAAACUAGCUUCGUUACUUCUAAUCAUCACUUUGGCUAGUUUGGACUAUGUCAAAACAGAGCACAUCCUCCCAGGCCAAAACAGGUCAUGUCAGCCUAGUCCAUGCCAAAGUGAUGACAGGGAGGAAGUAAUGAACGCACGUCCACCACAUCCAUGGAUCAUUCCUUCCAUCGUCUAUUAAUUUUUAAUCUUAUUUAAUCAUAUAAAAUUAUUUUUUUUAAUUUUAUUUUAAUAUUAUUUUUUAUGAUAGUAUGAAUAGUAUUUUUCGUCAAUAAAAUCAAAGCGAAUAACUAAAAUAAAAUUUGACUUUAACUUUCUUGAUCUGGAAGUAACUUUCAUCAACUAGCACUAUUAUGAAACAUUAUGAGUAAUUAGUUAGAUACAUUGAUUUUAUAUUUAAAAUAUUUACUAAUCCAUUUUGAAUCAACUAUAUCCACAUAUACAUGCAUUUAUGCAGAUAUCAUCUUUCAUUUACAUGAGAUAAAUAUCUAUAUUAACAUCCAGGAAAUAAAUAGAUAAGAGUAAGUCACACCGGGUCUAGACAAUCUUUUUUUUUUUUUGUACAUGAAGAAAUAAAAAAAAUCAUUGCAAUUGUUGCAAAUACUAAGCCCACUAAAAGCAUAAAAAUAGAGGGUAAGGUAUGAUCUGAAUUUGUGCCUCAAUUUAAUAUAACACAGUGUUGCUAUAGUAUUGCUAUAGUAUCGGACCGGUAAUAUAUGGUCCACGUACCGAAAGCCUAUCGGACGGUACAGUCCGGUACUAUAGACCAUGCUCCAAAUAUCUUUGAUUUCAAUAUUAGUGAAACUAUAAUUACCAUUAUGAUUCUAACUAAGAAUCUUUUUCUUGUAUCAUUUAGAAUAGGUUAUUAACUUCUACUAGUAUAUCUAAUACCAUCAAGACUAUCUAUAAUUUAUUUAGCUCACACUUAUGUUCUAACUUCUCGUUAGACAACAUUGAAUCGAACCACCAUUUUCAAAUAGAGUCUUUCUACAUAAUUAAGCAUACGAAUCUAAUCCUAAUCAUUAGGAUUGUUAAUUAAUAACGAGUAAGUAUUGAAAGAAAUGAUUCUUUUUUUAGGAAGCCGAGGUAUCAUUUCAAUAUAUAUUGAUAUAAUCUUUUUAUCGAAAAUAGAGAUAGUUAUUUAUUUUUAUAAAUAAAAAAUAAAGAAUUUAUUCUUGUAUAAUCAAAUAAUUAAGUUUCUAUUUUAACAUGGAACGAAAAAAACAAUUUAUAGGAUGGAUAAUAGAGUCUUUCGCUUAGCUUGAUCUUGAUCUAUGGCUUGAAAUUAGGAGAUAUAGAAAAGUCCACCAAUCUUAAGGAUCCAUAAUUAAUCCAAUCCUAUGGAUCCAAUAACAAAUAAUAGAAGUAUCAGGUUGUUUAGUAUUUGAUCUUUUAUAUAUAUGAUGAGAGUAAUAAUGACGACAAGACUCGGGUUGAGGUCAGCUGCCCCAGAUAACACUUCGGCUGACUUGACACCACUUGGUCAAAUGGAUCUGAACACCCACCGAGGCACAUUAAACAUCCUGCUCAGGCUCGAUCCUUCACGCCACGACAACACUAGUGUUAGACGCUACCAGCCUGCCCCCUGCAAGCGGGCACAUCAGGAAACAGUAAGCUUCCCUAUAAAUACCCUCGCAUUCUGAAGGAGAAAGUGGGGGAAACACACACACAAAAGACAUCUUCACUUCAUCUGACAUGAUCGUCGAAGGGGUCGGGUCGAGCAUCUCGACCCGACCUUUGUGCAGGUGCGAAGCCGAAGGUCCCCCCGAACGUGCAGGCGAUGAGUUCUUGCCCGGAGGAACCGGCAACCCUGUCCCGAUCGGACCACCAUAAUCGGCCACCUCAGCGAACUCGAAGACCGUCCCGAGAAGAUCCCCCGUCAUCCGGACUCAAACCGAACCGUGUCGGCCCCGAGGCCAUGACUAUAUAUAUAUAUAUAUAUAUAUAUAUAUAUGCAAAUACGAGCUUAUACACAAAUAGCGACUAGUUCAUGGUUCCAUUUGCUUGCUUCACGGAUAAUUUCAUUACAUUCACGAGCAACAUCAAGUCCCUCAUUACGAGCUUAUACACACAUUUCUAAAGCCAUCAUAUUAGCUACUGCAUCAGGUGUAUUUCCCCAAGGGUGUCCUAAAGUUCCUUUGUCAAAUUGUAGUACGGAAUUAAUUAUCCACAAAGAUUUCGGUCAAAGCAGUCAUGUGCCAAACGUGAAUACCCCCUAAAGUCACGGGCAAAACACUUGACAUACAGAUCUAUUCUUGAGUGAAGAAAAUAGUGUGACUUCGAUCUUUUUCAAUAUAAUGAUCACGUAAUAAAUCAACGAAACUUAAAGUCAUCUCACCUUAACCACUGAGCGUGAAGAGAAAAUAUUUCAUUUUCAUAAUUAAAGAAACCUUAACCUUAAAUACGAAGUUAGAUAUUUCAUUUUGGUAACUAAAGAAACCUUUACCUUAAAUGUAACUAAUAUAUAAUUAACCACAAACUUUACGUCAAAAUUACACUGAGUAUAUAUAUUUGGUUCAAAAACACUUGCGGAGGUUCCCUAACCCAUAGACUUCCUCGUCCUUCGUGGCUCUCUUGUAGGCUUGAACUAUGGGACCCACAUAGAAACGUACAUUGAGGAAGUACGACAAUAACGUGUUUGACGAAACAGAGUUUAUUAAGCACAAUGGAACAUAACACUACAUGACGUUUCUCCCACGCCUUCAGCACGAUAAAUAGUAGGGUUUGAUGUUGUAGUUACAGACAACUUCAUAGCCAAAUAAAUCCACACCGACGGAUAUCAAUAGCAGUAGCCACACAACCAGUUACAGGGAGAUUCACGUGAUGGAAGGAAAAGCUUGCGUCACUUGUCAGCGAUGGGGAUGCUGUGCAAGACCACAGUCUCCACCGUGAGCCCGGGACCGAACCCGAAGAGGACGCCCCACUCCAGCCCCUCGCCGGUGGUCGCCUUUCCGUCCUCGGCCGACCGUUUCCUCAUCUCGUCCAGGAUGAACAGCACGGUGCCGCUCGCCAUGUUCCCGUACUCUUUCAGCACCUCCCGCGUAGCCUUCAUCUUCUCCUUCUCCAAGCCGAGCAUGGCCUCUACCUGGUCGAGGAUCGCGGGCCCUCCGGGGUGCGCAAUCCAGAAUAUGGAGUUCCAGUCGCUGAUCCCCAGCGGCUUGAAUGCCUCCACCAGGCUCCGCUCGAUGUUCUUGGAGAUAAGGACCGGCACGUCCUUGAGCAGAUGGAAGAUGAGGCCGACCUCCCGCAGGUGGCCGUCGACGGCGCCCUCGGAGUCGGGGAGGAGGGUCUGGCUGGCGGAGACUAGCUGGAAAAUCGGCUGCUCCGUUGCGGGGUCGGGGUCGGCGCCGACGAUGAUGGCGGCGGCGCCGUCGCCGAACAGGGCCUGCCCAACAAGGUUGUCGAGGUGGGACUCCGAGGGCCCGUGGAAGCUGAGAGCGGUGAUCUCGGAGCAAACCACGAGCACCCGGGCGCCGCGGUUAUUCUCGGCCAGGUCCUUGGCCAUGCGGAGCACCGUGCCGCCCGCGAAGCAGCCCUGCUGGUACAUCAUGAACCGGUUGACGGAGGGUCGGAGCCCAAGGAGUUUGGUAAGCUGGAAGUCGGCGCCAGGCAUGUCGACGCCGCUGGUGGUGCAGAAGACGAGAUGGGUGAUCUUGGACUUGGGCUGCCCCCACUCCUUGAUGGCCUUGACCGCCGCCUCCUUGCCUAGCUUCGGCACCUCCACCACCACGAUGUCCUGCCGAGCGUCCAGCGACGGCGCCAUGUACGCGCAGAUGUUAGGGUUCUCCUUCAGGAUCUCCUCGUUGAGGUGCAGAUAACGUUUGCGGAUCAUCGACGUGUUACCUGAACAAGCAUGCAGUACAGGGAUCAAAACUAGGACUUCAUCUUUGGAUCACACACUUGUCCCUCGAACCAGCAUGCAGUGCAAAGACCACGAUUACACAAGAACAACUUCGUCUCUUUUAUUAACUAUGUCAUGCGAAUUCACGUAUCAUGUUCAUGUUUUAUUCUUUUAUUUAUUGAACAGUUGUAAUUAUCGCAGGAACAACUAAACCAGUCAGAGGAGGCCUUUUCUUUUUCGUCUCUCUGGUAACAAAUAUAAAGGCGCAGGUCGAAUUUAUUUGUUAGGGAAGAGGGAACCUAAGAAAUGAAUGGCACUUUAGAUUAAAGAAACGGCACGUACACAUUCUCUUGAACUUUUCCUUGAGUUUAGUGAGGUGCUCGCUCUUGGUGAUGCGAAAGUAGUAGUCCGGGUAGUCGGCCUGGUACAUGACGUUGACAGGGGUGGCGGUGCCGAUGGCAAGCACCGUCGCCGAACCCUCUGCCCUCUGCGAUUGCCUGAUCUCCGCCAACUUGGCCAUGAGCUAGAAGUGGGAGCAGGACCAAGUAUUAGGUCGAUCGAAGAGUUGAUGGUUCGGUCCGGAGAUGAGGAGGCGGGAGAUAUAUAGCGGUGGCUGGUUGGGUUGAACGGACGAGCAGAUGGGAAGCGACGA